ensembl:lncRNA
AAAGAAAGGAGGGAGGGAGCUUGUGUGCGCUGCUCGCUCAAAGAAAGACCAACACAGCGAAACACACAAGGCUGGCUGCGACUAGAGAGACAGAGCCAGCAGGGCAGGCAGCAUGGCGGGGCCGCAGGACUUCCAACAAGGCAGCCACUGUCACAGGAAAACGUGGAUCAAUAUAUUACUAGGAAUACUACAAUUACUUUUACCAUGCGUACAGCACGGAGGAGCCCAGCUGCAAGCCCUGAGUCAGAUUUCUACCAGCGUUGUGGAGGUUUGGCAGCCGGAGGAUGCAGAACCUUUAAUUCCGCUUCAGGUAUUGAAAUGUACUUUUUUUUUUGCAUAUGUAAAUGUUUUAUACACAGUGACACUAUGUUCCAGGUCUUGGCCUGCUUCUUUAGGCUUGUUCCUCUGUAUGAGCCAUGCGUUAUCCUGC